rnacentral:rRNA from 1 species
AGUGAACGCUGGCGGUAGGCCUAACACAUGCAAGUCGAACGGCAGCACAGUAAGAGCUUGCUCUUACGGGUGGCGAGUGGCGGACGGGUGAGGAAUACAUCGGAAUCUACUUUUUCGUGGGGGAUAACGUAGGGAAACUUACGCUAAUACCGCAUACGACCUACGGGUGAAAGCAGGGGAUCUUCGGACCUUGCGCGAUUGAAUGAGCCGAUGUCGGAUUAGCUAGUUGGCGGGGUAAAGGCCCACCAAGGCGACGAUCCGCAGCUGGUCUGAGAGGAUGAUCCGCCACACUGGAAGUGAGACACGGUCCAGACUCCUACGGGGGGCCGCAGUGGGGAAUAUUGGACAAUGGGCGAAAGCCUGAUCCAGCCAUACCGCGUGAGUGAAGAAGGCGUUCGGGUUGUAAAGUCCUUUUGUUGGGAAAGAAAAGCAGCAGGUUAAGACCCCGCUGUUCUGACGGUACCCAAAGAAUAAGCACCGGCUAACUUCGUG